UACAGGGGGGGCAAGGCGUUGUUCGGAAUUACUGGGCGUAAAGGGUCUGUAGGUGGCCAACUAAGUCAGACGUGAAAUCCCUCAGCUUAACUGGGGAACUGCGUCUGAUACUGGAUGGCUUGAGUGUGGGAGAGGAAUGCGGAAUUCCAGGUGUAGCGGUGAAAUGCGCAGAUAUCGGGAGGAACACCGGUGGCGAAGGCGGUUCUCUGGGCCUUACCUGACGCUGAGGAGCGAAAGCGUGGGGAGCGAACAGG
rnacentral:rRNA from 1 species